rnacentral:misc_RNA from 1 species
GAUCGUGACGCUUGUCGAUGAAACAGCCGACUUCGUUAAAAUACAACAAGCUGAAUCAACACACUUGCGGCUUGACCUAUUGUUGUAACUUAAAUUCAAUAGGAACGCACUAAAGUUGAACGAGCUUACCAUAAACGUGUGCUUUGCCACACAAAGUGAUUAUUAAACUCAAAUCAAGUAGGACUACCCGCUGAACUUAA